GACGUAGGAUGCAAGCGUUGUCCGGAUUUAUUGGGCGUAAAGAGUUCGUAGGUGGUUCGUUAAGUCUGAUGUUAAAGACUGGGGCUCAACCCUGGAAGUGCAUUGGAUACUGGCGGACUUGAGUGUGGUAGAGGCAAUCGGAAUUCCAGGUGUAGCGGUGAAAUGCGUAGAUAUCUGGAAGAACACCGGUGGCGCAGGCGGAUUGCUGGGCCAUAACUGACACUGAGGAACGAAAGCUAGGGGAGCGAAUGGG
rnacentral:rRNA from 1 species